rnacentral:rRNA from 1 species
GACGAACGCUGGCGGCGUGCCUAAUACAUGCAAGUAGAACGCUGAAGGAGGAGCUUGCUUCUCUGGAUGAGUUGCGAACGGGUGAGUAACGCGUAUGUAACCUGCCUGUUAGCGGGGGAUAACUAUUGGAAACGAUAGCUAAUACCGCAUAACAGUAGAUAUCGCAUGAUAUCUACUUGAAAGGUGCAAUUUCAUCACUACCAGUUGGACCUGCGUUGUAUUAGCUAGUUGGUGAGGUAACGGCUCACCAAGGGGACGAUACAUAGCCGGCCUCGGAGGGUGAUACGCCAAAAUGGGAAUGAGACAACGCCCCAACCUCUUAGGGAGGCCGCAGGAGGGAAUCUUCCGGAAUGGGCGGAAGUCUGAACGGGCAAAGCCGGGUGAGUGAAGAAGGUUUUCGGAUCGUAAAGCUCUGUUGUAAGGGAAGAAAGAGUUGGAGAGUGGACAGUUCACACUGUGACGGUAUCUUACCAGAAAGGCACGGCUAACUACGUG